GAUGAAGAACGCAGCGAUAUGCGAUAAGUAGUGUGAAUUGCAGAAUUCAGUGAAUCAUCGAAUCUUUGAACGCACAUUGCGCCCUUUGGUAUUCCUUAGGGCAUGCCUGUUCGAGCGUCAUUUAAACCUUCAAGCUAAGCUUGGUGUUGGGUGACUGUCCGCUUCACUGCGGACUCGCCUCAAAAUUAUUGGCGGCCGGUACAUUGGCUUCGAGCGCAGCAGAAACGCGAACUCGGGCCCGUCGUAUUGGCUCCCAGAAGCUAUCUUCACAAUUUUGACCUCGGAUCAGGUAGGGAUACCCGCUGAACUUAAGCAUAUCAAUAAGCGGAGGA
rnacentral:misc_RNA from 1 species